rnacentral:misc_RNA from 1 species
UCCCUGUUACCAGGGCAGUCUAGCUAGAGAAAUUCAACUAACUAUAAGGGUUGCGCUCGUUGAUGGACUUAACCAUACAUCUCACGACACGAGCUGACGACGGCCAUGCAACACCUGUCACCACGGUCCGAAGACACAUUUUCCUUUCGGAAAACUUAGUGGGAUGUCAAACCUGGGUAAGGUUCUUCGCUUAUCAUCGAAUUAAACAACACGCUCCACCGCUUGUGCGGGUCCCCGUCAAUUCCUUUAUGUUUUAAGCUUGCGCUCGUACUCCACAGGCGGGAUGCUUAACGCGUUAGCUUCGCUACUACGCGGGUCGAUACGCAUAACAGCUAGCAUCCAUCGUUUACAGCGUAGACUAC